UGAGGAUGGCGGACGGGUGAGUAACGCGUAAGGAACUUGCCUCUUGGUCUGGGACAACUGUUGGAAACGACAGCUAAUACCGGAUAUUAUAAGAUUCUCGCAUGGGAAACUUAUGAAAGCUAUAUGCGCCAAGAGAGAGCCUUGCGUUCCAUUAGCUAGUUGGUGGGGUAACGGCCCACCAAGGCGACGAUGGAUAGCCGGCCUGAGAGGGUGAACGGCCACAAGGGGACUGAGACACGGCCCUUACUCCUACGGGAGGCAGCAGUGGGGAAUAUUGGACAAUGGGCCACAAGCCUGAUCCAGCAAUUCUGUGUGCACGAUGAAGGUCUUCGGAUUGUAAAGUGCUUUCAGUUGGGAAGAAGAAAGUGACGGUACCAACAGAAGAAGCGACGGCUAAAUACGUGCCAGCAGCCGCGGUAAUACGUAUGUCGCAAGCGUUAUCCGGAUUUAUUGGGCGUAAAGCGCGUCUAGGCGGAAAAAUAAGUCUGAUGUUAAAAUGCGGGGCUCAACUCCGUAUUGCGUUGGAAACUGUUUUUCUAGAGUACUGGAGAGGUGGGCGGAACUACAAGUGUAGAGGUGAAAUUCGUAGAUAUUUGUAGGAAUGCCGAUGGAGAAGUCAGCUCACUGGACAGAUACUGACGCUAAAGCGCGAAGCGUGGGGAGCAAACAGGAUUAGAUACCCUGGUAGUCCACGCCGUAAACGAUGAUC
rnacentral:rRNA from 1 species